GAUGAAGAACGUAGUGAAAUGCGAAAAGUAGUGUGAAUUGCAGAAUUCAGUGAAUCAUCGAAUCUUUGAACGCACAUUGCGCCCUUUGGUAUUCCUUAGGGCAUGCCUGUUCGAGCGUCAUUUAAACCUUCAAGCUAAGCUUGGUGUUGGGUGACUGUCCGCUUCACGGCGGACUCGCCUCAAAAUUAUUGGCGGCCGGUACAUUGGCUUCGAGCGCAGCAGAAACGCGAACUCGGGCCCGUCGUAUUGGCUCCCAGAAGCUAUCUUCACAAUUUUGACCUCGGAUCAGGUAGGGAUACCCGCUGAACUUAAGCAUAUCAAUAAGCGGAGGA
rnacentral:misc_RNA from 1 species